AUGGGGAUGGUUGAGCGGCAGAAUCCGCCGGUGCCCGUCCAAAACCCCGUUAAUAAUGGGCGCCAUGAUUGCCCAGAUCGGUCGACCGAUCCGUCGUCGCUGCUGCUGCUGCUUGUGCUGCUCGUGCGCCUUGCUUUCGCAGGCCAACAGUGGCUCUCAGGCUCCCCAUGCCGUAUCCGGCUCGCACUGUGCCGCUGCCGUCGUACUCUACUCUACUAUACUCGCUGCCUGGCGAGUGGCGAGACAGCGUCUGGGCCGGGGGAUCCCGUCGCCAUGCGGCCAGCGCUCGUUUGGGCCCGCCGCGGCGAGGCUGGCGCUCGUUCGUUCCUUCCGGGAAGCCGGCCAUCGCGGAACAGCGGGAGAUGGACGCCCGGUCGCCGGCUCCACGGUGACACCCCAUCGCUGAUCCGCAGCAACAGUGACGUCGCCGGCGGGACGACGAUGGGCACGAGGGCGGGCGCCCACCGCACGGAUGUUCGUCCACACGCGCGAUGCUCUGUCACGGUCCGACGGACGGACGGAGGGAGGGACCCCGCCACCCCGACAUCUCCAUCCCAUCCCGUGCGCCUGUAG
rnacentral:rRNA from 1 species